ACUGCCUCUAGAAGUAUUGUGGGUGUGGCUGCUGUGUCACAUGUGCAUUAGUAGGUGGCAGGGAGGAGAAAGGCUCUGUCUGUGCUCAGUGCCCCGAUCUAUAUCUGAAUGAUUACCAACCUAACAUU